rnacentral:lncRNA from 1 species
CCCUGUCGGCCCGAGAGAGGUCGUUCCAGUCCCUGUCACCCUCGGAGCCGCAGCGCCCGCCGGCCUCCAGGAGGAGGUCGCGCCAGCUGCAGUUCCUGCGCACCUCCAGGAGGAGGUCGCGCCAGCUGCAGUUCCUGCGCACCUCCAGGAGGAGGUCGCGCCAGCUGCAGUUAAUGCGCACCUCCAGGAGGGGGUCGCGCCAGCCGCAGUUCCUGCGCACCUCCAGGAGGGGGUCGCGCCAGCCGCAGUUCCUGCGCACCUCCAGGAGGGGGUCGCGCCAGCCGCAGUCCCGGCGGACCUCCAGGAGGGGGUCGCGCCAGCCGCAGUCCCGGCGGACCUCCAGGAGGGGGUCGCGCCCGUCGCAGUCCCGGCGGACCUCCAGGAGGGGGUCGCGCCCGCCGCAGUCCCGGCGGACCUCCAGGAGGGGGUCGCGCCCGUCGCAGGUCCUGUCGACCCCCAGAAGGGGGUCGUUCCCGUCGCAGCUCCCGCUGCACCUGCAUCUGUACCUGGCGGCCCGGCUCCGGCCGCACCUGCAUCGGUUCCUGGCGGCCCGUCUCCGGCCGCACCUGCAUCGGUUCCUGGCGGCCCGGCUCCGGACGCUCCUGCAUCGGUUCCUGGCGGCCCGGCUCCGGACGCUCCUGCAUCGGUUCCUGGCGGCCCGGCUCCGGCCGCUCCUGCAUCGGUUCCUGGCGGCUCGGCUCCGGCCGCAUCUGCACCUGUGUCUCGUCGCGGUGGUCCAAGGAGGACGCCGCUGGUUCCUGUCUCUCGUCGCGGUGGUCCAAGGAGGACGCCGCUGGUUCCUGUCUCUCGUCGCGGUGGUCCAAGGAGGACGCCGCUGGUUCCUGUCUCUCGUCGCGGUGGUCCAAGGAGGACGCCGCUGGUUCAUGUUUCUCGUCGCGGUGGUCCAAGGAGGACGCCGCUGGUUCCUGUGUCUCGUCGCGGUGGUCCAAGGAGGAUGCCGCUGGUUCCUGCCUCGUCCUUGGCUCGGCUGCCGGACUGGUGGCCUCGCCCUCGGCGCCUCCUGCUGCGUGGAUGGCGCUGCCUCCUGCGGCGACGUCCACCUCGACUCCUCAGCCUCCCGGAUCAGCGUCCGCCAGGAGGACGCUGGGGCACUGGGUGUGCUCCUCUGCCCCAGCGGCGGCUGGGCAGGAUCUCGCCGCGUCUCCACCCGCCUUAAGAGGGAGCGGCGAGACGUCGUUGUUUUUCCUGUUCGUGGACUUUUGUCUUGUCGUGUGGACUCUUGUUUUGGCCCCCCUCCGGUCCUCCCU